AAGUCCAGGGCUUCUAUAAAGCCUUAUCCGAAUUUGCACUUCGGGCUCUUGGACC
rnacentral:tRNA from 1 species